rnacentral:lncRNA from 1 species
GUUCACAAGGGACAAAAAGGAACAUAGUUGGUGGGUAUUAUUUUCUUCAUCCUUUUUCUUUGUGUGUAUGUGUGUGUGUGUGUGUGUGUGUGUGUGUGUGUGUGUGUGUGUGUGUGCAUGUGUGCGUGUGUGUGUGUGUUUGCGCUCAUACACCUUUGGCCUGUAAUUCAGUGAAGUACAAUAUAUAUCUUGUGUCAUGCCUGCCACAUCUCCACACCCACAUCUCUCCCUUCAGUGAUUGCUCUGAAUCAAAGGGAGGAGAUGUGCUCGAGAUAAGGCCUGAGCAGCAAGCUGAUGCCAUCUCUCACAAGGACCCAGCUGAGGAAAGAGAUGGGGCUGAAUUUUAGCAUGUGCAUGAAAGAGCCCAAGACGGCAGAAAGGAUAGAGGGAUUUUUUUUUUUUUUUUUUUUUUUUUUGCACAUAGACUUUGGACCUUUUCUCAUCUGCUUGCAUGUUCUUCCUCUAGUAUUAUUGUGGCACUCUUCCUUUCCUAGGUGAACCAAAUCUUCAUCAGGAAAUAGAUUUAAAGGAAAUGCUGAAGACAAGUUGCCCUGUGUCGUGGAGAUCCUGUCGCUUUGGAACAGCAGGAGGAACAACAGCUUUUUCAUGCGCUCUAAAGUUCAGAUGAUGUAGAUUUUGGGGUGGGCCAUCUCAAAGUCUUGAAUCUGGUCCUGGGUAGUAGCUGAGUUGAUCAGUCUGCCAGCUUUCCUGCAUCAACAGCACCAAAGCCAGCUCUCUUCCUAUGCCA